CUACCUCCAGGACUCAGCUGAACCCCAAGGAACGAGAAUGGCCACCUCAGUCCUUCAUAUGAUGAUGGCCAUAGGGCUGUUAACUUUGAUUCUUCCCUGCCAUGCUGGUGAUGAGCUAUCCAAUUAUGGUGAAAAUUCAGACAAGGAUCUCCCAUCAGUCUUGAACUUUCUAGGCACUGGGAUUAUUGAUUCUGCAGUAAACUAUGUCCUCAAUUCAAUAUAUCAGAAAUCUGGCUUUUUGGAAUGGCAAGAAGAUUCAAAAAAUGAUUCAGAAUAAUAGAGCUCCUGACAACUCCCGCCAGCUAGCUGAAUCAGAUCCACCACGCUGCUGCCCUCCUGGACAUCUUUGUUCCAUCCCAAGAUCCUUUCAUUGAACCCUUUCUACCUCCAGUUCUGGGAACAGUAAUCAAACCAACAUUAGCAAUCCUAGAAAUCAUAUGUCAAUCAAUUGUCCUAUGGCUCCACUGUGACUUCUUAGUCCAAAACACCACUCCCUGGCCACCAGUCCAUUAUGUGAAUUGCCUUUCCUUAUUAGAAUAAGAUCUUUGAAAACAAGGACCAUAAUCGGCAAUGAAUACUGGGACAGUGGAAAGCUCAGUAGAAAGCACCAACCAAAAUACACCAUACACCAAACUAGGCAGAGAUCUUAUGUACCAUGAGAAUAGUAGAAGGCAGACUUGCUAGAGGUAAGUGCUAUGAUAUCACCAGAAGACAUCAGUAGCCCUAAGGUGUCAAAAGCUUGAGUUGGUCCUCCAUAUGUGUCUUGCAACAUACAUACCCUACCCCACCCACACAUAUUCCCUGCAUGCACGCCCCUCCACAUGUGCCCUGGCUAUAUAUGUCCCUUAUGUGUCUGUUUCAUCUUGCAUGUUCUCUAGGUAUAUCCUCUCAUCUCACUGAUGUAUAUAUUUAUGGAAAAAUGUGCUCCAGUUCAUGAAGGAAAUACUGUUUUGCUACUUUCAUUAUGCUAUUUCAUUAAAUGCUUUGCU